rnacentral:rRNA from 1 species
CGAGCACGCGCGUGUGGCAUAUCAAUAAGCGGAGGAAAAGAAACUAACUAGGACUCCCUUCAGUAACGGCGAGUGAAGCGGGAAGAGCUCAAAUUUGAAAUCUUCAAGGUUCUACCUUGACGAAUUGUAGUUUAAUAGAAGUGUUUUCUGUUAGUGGAGUUGGCUAAAAGUUCUUUGGAAUAGGACAUCAUAGAGGGUGAGAAUCCCGUAUUUGGUACCAUUCCUUCCUAACUUUGUGAUACACUUUCAACGAGUCGGAUUGUUUGGGAAUGCAGUCCAAAAUGGGUGGUAAAUUUCAUCUAAAGCUAAAUACUUGGCGAGAGACCGAUAGCGAACAAGUACCGUGAGGGAAAGAUGAAAAGAACUUUGAAAAGAGAGUUAAACAGUACGUGAAAUUGUCAAAAGGGAAGCGUUUGACACCAGUGUUGUUUUUCCGAAAAUCAAUUACGAAAUGGUUUUGGUUUUUGAGGAGUUAUGACUUCAUCAGGCUUUCUGCACUUUCUUUACUGUACUUUUCUUAAUGCACUUUUCGUUUAACAAGGCAACAUCAGUUUCUUUUGUUGUAAAAGGGUCAUGAGGAAGGUGGCUUUCUUUUCGGAGAAAGUGUUUAUAGGCCUUUGAUCCUCUGCAAUCGGAGAGACUUGAGGUCUGCAGCGUAGAUCCUUCGGGGUUAGAUACGUUUGUGCUAAGUUAUAGCUUUUCAUAGACAACUUGUUGACUAUGUUUAGUCUUGUAGCUUACUCGCUGACGCUAUUUUACCUACGCUUAGGAUGUUGAACUCUAUCACACACAG